AUGUUGUACAUGGGGGUCAGGGUGGUGGGAGGUUCUACCAAACUUCUCCCUGCCUCCCCAGCGGAUCUACACACCUUGUCGUCGCCCCUGCAUUUCCAUGCACCAAUGCCAACUUGCGGUGCCUGCAUCUUCGCCCUACAAAAAAAGGGAUGCAGUUUGGCUGAUGUACGCAAGAAAGGAACAUGUUUGUUCAUGGUAAAGGAUGCAGAUGUUCAGAGCUCCAAUGUUAUUUCUUUGAUCUGUUAUGUUUGUAUAAUUUUGACUAACAUUUUGUUUCCUACAAUAGUUAAAGAUCAUCUAUUUAGGGAUUUACUUGGCAGUCAGAUGUAUAAAGGUGUGUUUACUAUGAUCAUAGUAUCUGAUGUUUUGGAUCUGUACUAA
rnacentral:rRNA from 1 species